UACGUAGGGUGCGAGCGUUAAUCGGAAUUACUGGGCGUAAAGCGUGCGCAGGCGGGCUUUUAAGCCAGACGUGAAAUCCCCGGGCUUAACCUGGGAAUGGCGUUUGGGACUGGGAGUCUGGAGUGCGGCAGAGGAGACUGGAAUUCCUGGUGUAGCAGUGAAAUGCGUAGAUAUCAGGAGGAAUACCGAUGGCGAAGGCAGGUCUCUGGGCUGACACUGACGCUCAUGCACGAAAGCGUGGGGAGCAAACAGG
rnacentral:rRNA from 1 species